GGGAAAAUAUCUCAGUGGUAGAGCAUCGGUUUCUUAACUCAAAGGUCGUGGGUUCGAUCCCCGGUUUCCCCG
rnacentral:tRNA from 1 species